rnacentral:misc_RNA from 1 species
UGGAACUGUUUGAAGCUUUAGUAGUUCGGGCACUCAAGUUAUUUUCCAUUUGCACAAUGUUGUUGUGUCUGAAGUUACUUCUAAAGUUGAAAUCUUUCCUCUCAGAAGUAGACGGUACAGUGUUCGUUUUACCAGUAGCAGCAAUCUUAACAGAAAAUUUUGGUUUCCUUUCUAAAGAUGUCUCUGUCGUAUGAUAAGUAGGUGCCAUGCCACAUAUGCAACCAAAUUAAG